CACCGCGGUUAUACGAGAGGCCCAAAUUGACAAACACCGGCGUAAAAUGUGGUUAACAUAAUGAUGCACUAAAGCUAAACAUCUUCAAAGCGGUUAUACGCACAUGAAGACAGGAAGCACUUCUACGAAAGUGGCUUUAAAUGAUGCUACCCACGAAAGCUAGGAAA
rnacentral:rRNA from 1 species